UACAGAGGUCCCAAGCGUUGUUCGGAUUCACUGGGCGUAAAGGGCGCGCAGGUGGGUUGGCAAGUUCGAUGUGAAAGCCCCGGGCUUAACCCGGGAAUGGCAUUGGAAACUGCUGAUCUGGAGGAUCGGAGGGGGGACUGGAAUUCUUGGUGUAGCAGUGAAACGCGUAGAUAUCAAGAGGAACACCAGUGGCGAAGGCGAGUCCCUGGACGAUACCUGACACUGAGGCACGAAAGCCAAGGGAGCAAACAGG
rnacentral:rRNA from 1 species